AGCAGCCGCGGUAAUUCCAGCUCCAAUAGCGUAUAUUAAAGUUGUUGCAGUUAAAAAGCUCGUAGUUGAAUUUCGGGAUUGACCCAUCGGUCGUGCCUUAAGGGGUAUGAACUGGUGUAGUCAAUUUCUCACCUUCUGGAGAACCGUGAUGUCCUUAAUUGGGUGCCACGAGGAACCAGGACCUUUACUUUGAAAAAAUUAGAGUGUUUAAAGCAGGCAUUUUGCUUGAAUACAUUAGCAUGGAAUAAUAAAAUAGGACGGCAUGAUUCUAUUUUGUUGGUUUCUAGGAUCACCGUAAUGAUUAAUAGGGAUAGUUGGGGGCAUUAGUAUUCAAUUGUCAGAGGUGAAAUUCUUGGAUUUAUUGAAGACUAACUACUGCGAAAGCAUUUGCCAAGGAUGUUUUCAUUAAUCAAGAACGAAAGUUAGGGGAUCGAAGACGAUCAGAUACCGUCGUAGUCUUAACCAUAAACUAUGCCGACUAGGAAUCAGACGAUGUUAAUUUUUUAAUGAUUCGUUUGGC
rnacentral:rRNA from 1 species